CCUACGGGAGGCAGCAGUGAGGAAUAUUGGUCAAUGGACGAGAGUCUGAACCAGCCAAGUAGCGUGAAGGAUGACUGCCCUAUGGGUUGUAAACUUCUUUUAUAUGGGAAUAAAAUGUUCCACGUGUGGGAUGUUGUAUGUACCAUAUGAAAAAGCAUCGGCUAACUCCGUGCCAGCAGCCGCGGUAAUACGGAGGAUACGAGCGUUAUCCGGAUUUACUGGGUUUAAAGGGAGCGUAGGUGGAUUGUUAAGUCAGUUGUGAAAGUUGGCGGCUCAACCGUAAGAUUGCAGUUGAAACUGGCAGUCUUGAGUACAGGAGAGGUGAGCGGAAUUCGUGGUGUAGCGGUGAAAUGCUUAGAUAUCACGAAGAACUCCGAUUGCGAAGGCAGCUCACUGGACUGCAACUGACACUGAGGCUCGAAAGUGUGGGUAUCAAACAGGAUUAGAUACCCUUGUAGUC
rnacentral:rRNA from 1 species